UACGAAGGGUGCAAGCGUUACUCGGAAUUACUGGGCGUAAAGGGUGCGUAGGUGGUUGUUUAAGUCUGUCGUGAAAGCCCCGGGCUCAACCUGGGAAUGGCAAUGGAUACUGGACAGCUAGAGUGCGGUAGAGGGUAGUGGAAUUCCCGGUGUAGCAGUGAAAUGCGUAGAGAUCGGGAGGAACACCAGUGGCGAAGGCGGCUACCUGGACCAGCACUGACACUGAAGCACGAAAGCGUGGGGAGCAAACAGG
rnacentral:rRNA from 1 species